UACGUAGGUGACAAGCGUUGUCCGGAUUUACUGGGCGUAAAGAGCGCGCAGGCGGUCAGAUAAGUCGAAUGUGAAAGCCCCCGGCUCAACUGGGGAGGGUCAUUCGAUACUGAUCGACUUGAAGGCAGGAGAGGGAAGCGGAAUUCCCGGUGUAGUGGUGAAAUGCGUAGAUAUCGGGAGGAACACCAGUGGCGAAGGCGGCUUCCUGGCCUGUUCUUGACGCUGAGGCGCGAAAGCUAGGGGAGCAAACGGG
rnacentral:rRNA from 1 species